CCUGAAGCCGGUGGGCUAACCCCUAUGGGGAGGCAGCCGUUCAAGGUGGGACUGGUGAUUGGGACGAAGUCGUAACAAGGUAGCCGUAGCGGAAGCUGCGGCUGGAUCACCUCCUUU
rnacentral:rRNA from 1 species